rnacentral:rRNA from 1 species
CCUACGGGAGGCUGCAGUGAGGAAUAUUGGUCAAUGGACGAGAGUCUGAACCAGCCAAGUAGCGUGAAGGAUGACUGCCCUAUGGGUUGUAAACUUCUUUUAUAUGGGAAUAAAAUGUUCCACGUGUGGGAUUUUGUAUGUACCAUAUGAAUAAGGAUCGGCUAACUCCGUGCCAGCAGCCGCGGUAAUACGGAGGAUCCGAGCGUUAUCCGGAUUUAUUGGGUUUAAAGGGAGCGUAGGUGGAUUGUUAAGUCAGUUGUGAAAGUUUGCGGCUCAACCGUAAAAUUGCAGUUGAAACUGGCAGUCUUGAGUACAGUAGAGGUGUGCGGAAUGCGUGGUGUAGCGGUGAAAUGCUUAGAUAUCACGAAGAACUCCGAUUGCGAAGGCAGUUCACUGGACUGCAACUGACACUGAGGCUCGAAAGUGUGGGUAUCAAACAGGAUUAGAUACCCCUGUAGUC